rnacentral:rRNA from 14 species
ACGUUCCCGGGUCUUGUACACACCGCCCGUCACACCACGAGAGUUUGUAACACCCGAAGCCGGUGGAGUAACCUUUUAGGAGCUAGCCGUCGAAGGUGGGACAAAUGAUUGGGGUGAAGUCGUAACAAGGUAGCCGUAUCGGAAGGUGCGGCUGGAUCACCUCCUUUCUAAGGA